UUUUCAAUAAAUGUUUGUUAAACGACAUAUGUGUGACCACUUUCUCUCCUUCGUGAUCUUUAUGUUAAAGUCUAUUAUGAUUGAUUUAAUAUAGUUUAACCAGCAUUCUUGUGCUUUUGUCUGUAAUUUGGUAAAGAAUGACAAAGAAUUAUAAACGUCAGCAAAAAGCAAGCAAACUUGUCGUUAUGUGCAUGGAAAUCCAAGAUAUUUAACAUAAAAAUUUAUGAAACAAUAAGAGAAUUCAGCAAGAAUCAAUGUUAAUGUAUAAGACCCAACAGAUUUCCUAUAAACAUCCACCCCUGGAGCACCUGUGCAGACCCUCAGUAGAAUCUGCACACUGGGCCCCAGGCGCGCCAGGAUGGGGCUCAGGGGUUGGUGGGUCCGGCGGCUGUAAAGGAACAGGGUGGAGGUCCCAGGUUGAAAAAUUGUAAAAUUAUAAUUUUACAGCUAUAUAAUUUAACUACUUCAGUCGUCAUGUCUUUUUCUUUUUACAAAGUCAAUUUUCCUACCUAACUCCAAAUUUUUUUCACACCAUCUAAGUAAUAUUUUAAUAUUUUCCAUAUCCAAUCCGUAUUCAAAUUUCCCCAAUUACCUCCAAAUGACUUAUGAAAAAAAUGCUAUUUUAAUCGGGAGCCCAAUAGCGGACUACCCUUUGCAUUUGACAGCAGAGUUCAGGCUUAACCCUUAACCUCUUCGGGCUCGGAGGACCCUGGGCAGGAGAGAUUUAAGAACACCGUCCUCCCGCUUUCGCGGAAAGGCCAAAAGUGACUUGAAAUGUAGACGCGGAGGCCUAUGGGAAAUGUAGUUUUAAAUAGGUGAGGUUCACCGCCUGGACUCUGGGAAGGGGACGCCACGCUCCUUCUGCGCAUGUGCAGCCGUAGCCUCCUCGUUUGUCUUCUCAGGACUCCAGAGAACCGUUGGGGAACUUUGGGGUGUGCUCGGAAAAUGCAGGAUGCGCUGCUGUCACACAUGUCCACCACCACAUGUGACAUUAGUGACGUUAUCCUGAUGUCACAGGAUCCAAGAAUGAUGAUCUGUGAAGAGUUUUCCAAGGUCACCUACUUCUAACUCUUUUGAAAGAUUUAAAGACAUUGGGCCUGAAAAUUUCAGUGACUUGUCCAGGGAAACGCAGUUUGUGACAGUUCACUCUCUCACAGGUAAGUUACCAAAAGCAUCUAUCGAAAGGGCCUUUUGAGAAAUACUUCCCAGCUGAAAUGAACAAUUACAAAUUCCUGCCUUAAAUCCUCCAUCUCUUUUACUAGGCUUUCCGUGGAUUGUGUAUACCAGGGGUUGAAUAAUAUUACUGAGAAAAAUAGAUAAAUGAUGCAUACUGAGCAUUUUUCUGCUAAGUUAACUUUAAUGAAGGAAUAGUGUCUUGUCGUUUGGCGUACUUUAAUUCAACUGAUCGGUUGUUUUUAUUUCUUUCUGUUAUCCAGAAGGACGCAUGCGUUAUUGUUAAAUCAAUCGAGUAAAGUUUAUGUUCACUCAGUAAAAAACUGCAGAUUUCAGCUCCAUGGUCAUUUCAGAAUCACACAAAGACAGGUGUUGCUGCCUGUCCAUGAUCCUUCUUGUGCCUUUUCAAGGCCCAGAGGGCCCUGUGCCUAUGGGGAGGAUGAUCCCCAACUGGGGUGCUGAGAUUUGAGGAGGUGAAUCUAAGAGCUGUAAGACAGCUAAAUCUCAGGACCCCUGUCUUCUUUCUGUCCCCUCAGCUGAACCACAGUCCUCUGUACUCGCCCAGGAGCCACAGAGAGUGAACAUCCCUCAGGUGAGCUCUUUAUUCAUUCCCCACUUUAUAUUGUAAUGGAUUUAUAAGGUUUAGCAGGAUCCAUGCAUUAAAGGAAAAGGAGAAGUUGAAAUAGUAGAAAUCAAGUCAGUCUUGAGGAAAAAUAUAGCGUGUUUUACUAUUAAUUGUGAUGUUGGCUGUUAGCUUUGAGUGGGUAACCUUGUCAGGGUAAGUAGUUUCCCACUAAGCUACCUGUUUCAAUCUCUUUACUUGUGAUUGGGCUAUUCAGAUUCUCUGUUUCUUCUUGAUUCAGUUUUGGGAAGUUGUAUGAGUCUUAGAAUUUAU
rnacentral:lncRNA from 1 species